CGGGAGAGGCCCGGAGGCUGGCGGGGCUUGGGGUGUCCACCAUCAGGCCUGCGUGCCCCCAGCCCGCGCUCCCAGGUGCCUUCUGCAUCGCCACAGUCAAGACCUCAGGUGACAGCCGCAGAGGCCAGAGGCAUAAAAGCCGGACCAGUCCACUUACCCAGCGCUACCUGAAUCCAUGGUGAACCUACCCGGCCUGGCUUGGUUGCAAAACAGGGAAGCUUGUUGUGUGCUGCUGAAAGGGGAGCUCUGGGGAAACUGUGCUCUGACGUAACCCAAGGACCCCGCUCUCAGAACCCAACACCUCUCCAAAAAGACAUCAUCAAAACUGGCACCCAGUGUGGAGCCUUCACAGCACAGAUCAGAAAGCAGAAAUUCGGGCCUCCCCAG